ACUCCUUGAUCAACUUCUCAAAAUGAGGUUCCCUGCUCAGCUCCUUGGGCUGCUUAUGCUUUGGUUCCCUGGAUCCAGCGGGGAAAUCGUGAUGACACAGACCCCACUCUCCCUGCCCAUCACCCCCGGAGAGCCGGCCUCCAUCUCCUGCAGGGCCAGUCAGAGCCUCCUGCACAGUGAUGGAAAAACCUAUUUGGGUUGGUUCCGGCAGAAGCCAGGCCAGUCUCCACAGGGCCUGAUCUACUUGGUUUCCAAACGUUUCUCUGGGGUCCCAGACAGAUUCAGUGGCAGCGGGUCAGGGACAGAUUUCACCCUGACCAUCAGCAGGGUGGAGGCUGAUGAUGUGGGAAUUUAUUACUGUGCACAAAGUCUACAGUCUCCUCCCACAGUGGUUCAGGCCCGAACACAAACCUCCUGCCUGGGGUCCUGGCUGCCCCAGUGA